rnacentral:rRNA from 1 species
AUAACGUAGCGAAAGUUACGCUAAUACCGCAUACGAUCUAACGGAUGAAANCGGGGGGACUCGCAAGAGCCUCGCGCGAUUGGAGCGGCCGAUAUCAGAUUAGGUAGUUGGUGGGGUAAAGGCUCACCAAGCCAACGAUCUGUAGCUGGUCUGAGAGGACGACCAGCCACACUGGAACUGAGACACGGUCCAGACUCCUACGGGAGGCAGCAGUGGGGAAUUUUGGACAAUGGACGCAAGUCUGAUCCAGCCAUUCCGCGUGCAGGAUGAAGGCCCUCGGGUUGUAAACUGCUUUUGUACGGAACGAAAAGGUUUCUAUUAAUACUAGGAGCUCAUGACGGUACCGUAAGAAUAAGCACCGGCUAACUACGUG